AUUGCCCUAGUAACGGCGAGUGAAGCGGCAACAGCUCAAAUUUGAAAUCUGGCGUCUUUGGCGUCCGAGUUGUAAUUUGCAGAGGGCGCUUUGGCAUUGGCAGCGGUCCAAGUUCCUUGGAACAGGACGUCACAGAGGGUGAGAAUCCCGUACGUGGUCGCUAGCCUUUACCGUGUAAAGCCCCUUCGACGAGUCGAGUUGUUUGGGAAUGCAGCUCUAAAUGGGAGGUAAAUUUCUUCUAAAGCUAAAUACUGGCCAGAGACCGAUAGCGCACAAGUAGAGUGAUCGAAAGAUGAAAAGCACUUUGGAAAGAGAGUUAAAAAGCACGUGAAAUUGUUGAAAGGGAAGCGCUUGCAGCCAGACUUGCCUGUAGUUGCUCAUCCGGGUUUUUACCCGGUGCACUCUUCUAUAGGCAGGCCAGCAUCAGUUUGGGCGGUUGGAUAAAGGUCUCUGUCAUGUACCUCUCUUCGGGGAGAACUUAUAGGGGAGACGACAUGCAACCAGCCUGGACUGAGGUCCGCGCAUCUGCUAGGAUGCUGGCGUAAUGGCUGUAAGCGGCCCGUCUUGAAACACGGACCAAGGAGUCUAACAUCUAUGCGAGUGUUUGGGUGUCAAGCCCGAGCGCGUAAUGAAAGUGAACGGAGGUGGGAACCUUUCGGGGUGCACCAUCGACCGAUCCUGAUGUCUUCGGAUGGAUUUGAGUAAGAGCAUAGCUGUUGGGACCCGAAAGAUGGUGAACUAUGCUUGAAUAGGGUGAAGCCAGAGGAAACUCUGGUGGAGGCUCGCAGCGGUUCUGACGUGCAAAUCGAUCGUCAAAUUUGGGCAUAGGGGCGAAAGACUAAUCGA
rnacentral:rRNA from 2 species